AAGACCACGGAGUGGGCCCCUCCCAGGCCUGUGGGAGGCUGGGGCCAGGGCCCCAGGGGGUGUGUCAGGGGCUGGGUUCCUGGGACAGAUGCUGGGCCAAGUGGGGCGGCUGAGGGUGGUGCCUGGCAGGGGCCGGGGGCAGAAAGGGGAAGGGGCGUUGGACACAGAAGGGCCUUCCCUCAGGUCCCGGUGACAAAAGUUUAUCAAAGGACAAAGGGAGUGAUAUGUCGUGAUUCCCAGGUGGAAACCUCCCAAGAGGAAAGGGGUCUGGAGGGGCUCGGAGCAGAGGCAGGGGUGCAGGGGUCCCAGGUACAGGAAGGGGCACGAGAGACAUGGGACGCAGUCUGAGGCUCCCUGGCAGGCUCCCCGCUUCAUCUGCCCUUGAAUUUGGGGUCUCCACCCCCCCCCCGGCCCCAGGAGGCUGGUGGGGGCAGGCUCCACGUGCACUGCCCAGGCAGCCCUGAGCCUGAGCAAGGCCGGCCCGGUUCCAGCACCAGAGUGGAUCGGGAAUGGCCCAGGAAUCCCUGCAUUUCCUGGGACAUUUCUUGAAGACACCCCCUCACUUGUGGGCCACAGACAGAAGGGCCUCCCUUGGAAGACACAGGCUGGGCUCUGCUGUCGGGGCGGACCGAGGCUUCCAGAAGGAGAUUCCCCACCGAGGCCCCACUGCCCACCAGGAGAACUAUGGUCAGCUCAGCCUGUGCCCCUGCAGGAGGGAGGCGACCGUCCUGUGAGGACAGAACCGGCCACACGUGAAUAACCGUUACUCGCAUGUGCCUUUAACAAAGUGACGUAGCGAUGAACGUUCAACUCUCCCCUGUUGAGUUGUUUCGGUUAUGCACCGGAAGCGUCUUCCAACGACCGCCCUUGAGCGACAGCCACCCGAGUCGCUGUCCCCACGUGUUCUGCGUGAAAUCUUUCCGUGAAGGCCUUGGGCGCAGUGGGGACGCUGAGCGUGCGUGACCGACACAAGCCAGGACACAGGU